GCUCAUCAUCCCCAAAAUCAUCAUCAGCAAUCUGCCGGGGACCAGCCGAUGUUCUCGGCCUCUCAACUGCUGGCCCCAAGGGAUCCGAGUAACUGGCAUCUGGAAAUUUAGUAGCAACAAUUAUGCAAACAAAGUUUGAAAGACUUUGGUGCUGGAACAUCCAGAAACGUUCAACAAACCAUUCUACAGCCUGAUCCACAUCACCAAGCAGCUGAUACAGGUGACCAAGUUGAUACAGAGCUUCAGGUUGAUGGCGAACAAUAGCCUGAAGUUUUAAAAAGCAAUCCAAAGCAUCCUCAUGUAAGCCUAGCUGCUUGUUGGCCAGACCUGCAAAAAAUAUCACACCAAAAAUCUGCACAAAGAAACAAGUCCUUUGCCUUUUCAAGAUCACCUGCAGCCAGGCUGCAGCAUCCGAGAUUUACAAAGGCAGCUGCAUUAUAACCAUCAGCUGUUCGGGAAGAUUCACUGAAUUUCUUGGCCUGCUCAAUGUCGCCUUGC